CUACCUACAUUUUCUUCCAAACAAGUGGGGGAGUCGAGAUUGGGUUCUGUUCCUAUAGGACUAAAGGCCCAGACCAGUCGCAUUUAACAGUCUAUUGGGCUUGAUAGUGGGCUGCAUCCAUUUAACAAUAUUACUGAAGCUCCUUUCUGUCCGUUUCAGUAAUUCCGCUCUCCUUGCACUAGGGUUUCUGAGAACCACUAUAAAUUAGUGCAUUUUAGCCUCCGCUGUAGGCAUCUGUUCUGCUCCUCCUCUUUCUUGUUCUCGGGCUUCAAACGCCUUGCGGGCAAUAUGAUCGUCUUAAUACUCUGCUGGAACCGUUCAGAACAAUUACAAAGUGUAGUAGAUAUUGGCUAACACUCCUGGCAAAACAGGUUGCACGUAAUUGCAUCCUGACUGGAGAUCUUGAGGUGCAAGCGUUCUUCCCUCACAUGCUGCUGCCUUUUUGAUGCAGGAAAAUGGGAAAAAUCUGAGAUUUGAAUCAGUUCUAAAAUGCAAAUACUGGGGUCCAUUUUGCAUCGUCCAUAAGCAUCUUUUUUAGCAAAGGGGGGAAGACGAUAUAUGACAGGACUCUGAUGACAAAAUCUAAAGACAUUAAAACCACACAAAGGGAAAAUGGGAAGGAGGGAAGAAUGGUGGCCCAUUCCUUUCCCAUCCUCGAAGCUAAAGAAUCUCUCGGACAUGUGAGUGCCUGCGAGAAGUUGAAGCUGGAGGCACGGGUCCUGGGGUUACAUUAAGAAAAAAUAAAAAAAUAAAAAAAUAAAAAAGUACACCACUUCACUAUUAUCAAUUAACUUUGAAUGUGAAGUAUCAAUUUUCUACCUAUUUUACACUAUUUCCGACGGAGAGAGACCUGGCUACGUUGCCAAGGUAAAACCUGUAAAAGUUUGAACCCAAGUUUAAACCUUGAUCGAUAUGAUGAAAUCAGUGCUCGUUUCUUCUAUAACAGCAAAAAGAUCUCCUAACUUUUUUAUAAAGAAAAAUUUUAUAUAUUA